GAUGAACGCUGACAGAAUGCUUAACACAUGCAAGUCUUUGGCGAAGCUGUGCUUGCACAGCCUAGCCAAGGCGGACGGGUGAGUAACGCGUAAGGAACUUGCCCUGCAGUCAGGGAUAACAGACGGAAACGACUGAUAAGACCUUGUAAAGUCAGGCGGACUCAUGUCCAGCCUGAUGAAAAGAGAUGCUGCAGGAGAGCCUUGCGUCAUAUUAGCUUGUUGGUGGGGUAACGGCCCACCAAGGCGAUGAUAGGUAGCCGGCCUGAGAGGGUGGACGGCCAAAAGGGGACUGAGAUACGGCCCUUACUACUACGGGAGGCAGCAGUGGGGAAUAUUGGACAAUGGGGGCAACGCUGAUCCAGCAAUUCUGUGUGCACGAUGAAGGUUUUCGGAUUGUAAAGUGCUUUCAGCAGGGAAGAAAAAAAUGACGGUACCUGCAGAAGAAGCGACGGCUAAAUACGUG
rnacentral:rRNA from 1 species